rnacentral:rRNA from 1 species
CAGGGUUUGACAUCCCAAGAAUUUUGCCGAAAGGCGAGAGUGCUUUAUUGAACUUGGUGACAGGUGAUGCAUGGCCGUCGUCAGCUCGUGUCGUGAGAUGUUUGGUUAAGUCCAUCAACGAGCGCAACCCUUGUGAUUAGUUGUAUUUUUCUAAUCAGACUGCCCCGGCAACGGGGAGGAAGGAGGGGAUGAUGUCAGGUCAGUAUUUCCCUUACAUCCUGGGCUAGAAACGCAAUACAAUGGCCAGUACAAUGUGCAGCGAAGCCGCGAGGUGAAGCAAAUCACAUCAAAGCUGGUCCCAGUUCGGAUAAGAGGCUGAAACUCGCCUCUUUGAAGUCGGAAUCGCUAGUAAUCGCAGAUCAGCAAGCUGCGGUGAAUACGUUCCC